UGAAAUAUGGGUCAAGACCGAUUAAAGGUGCUGGACUUAAGAUCCAGUGGCAGAGGCCUUCGUGGGUUCGAAUCCCACUCCCUCCA
rnacentral:tRNA from 1 species